GAUGAACGCUAGCGGCAGGCUUAAUACAUGCAAGUCGAGGGGCAGCGCGGGUAGCAAUACCUGGCGGCGACCGGCAAACGGGUGCGGAACACGUACGCAACCUUCCCAAAACUGGUGAAUAGCCCUCCGAAAGGAGGAUUAAUACACCGUACCAUAAUGAAGAGGCAUCUCUUUGUUAUUAUAGCCGCAAGGCGGUUUUGGAUGGGCGUGCGCCUGAUUAGGUAGUUGGCGGGGUAACGGCCCACCAAGCCUGCGAUCAGUAACUGGUGUGAGAGCACGACCAGUCACACGGGCACUGAGACACGGGCCCGACUCCUACGGGAGGCAGCAGUAAGGAAUAUUGGUCAAUGGACGCAAGUCUGAACCAGCCAUGCCGCGUGAAGGAUGACGGCCCUCUGGGUUGUAAACUUCUUUAAUCUGGGACGAAAAAGGGCUUCUAGCUCACUUGACGGUACCAGAGGAAUAAGCACCGGCUAACUCCGUG
rnacentral:rRNA from 1 species